GAACUUUCUAGAGAUAGAUCGGUGCCUUCGGGAACUCUGUGACAGGUGUUGCAUGGCUGUCGUCAGCUCGUGUCGUGAGAUGUUGGGUUAAGUCCCGUAACGAGCGCAACCCUUAUCCUUAUUUGCCAGCACGUAAUGGUGGGAACUCUAAGGAGACUGCCGGUGACAAACCGGAGGAAGGUGGGGAUGACGUCAAGUCAUCAUGCCCCUUAUGUCCA
rnacentral:rRNA from 1 species